rnacentral:rRNA from 1 species
AUUGAACGCUGGCGGCCGGCCUAACACAUGCAAGUCGAGCGGAGCGGCGGUAGGGUGAGUAUUUCCUAGGUCUCUGACUGGUAGUGGGGGAUAACGUCCGGAACCGGGCGCUAAUUCCGCAUCCUAUCAGAUUAGCAUAGGUCGGAGUAGCUUGGUGGUGGGUUAAAGCACUACUAAGGCGACGAUCCGUAACUGUGCUGAGCGGAUGAUCAGGCACACGGGAACUGAGACACGGUCCAGACGCCUACGGGAGGCAGCAGGGGGGAAGAUUGCACAAUGGGCGAAAGCCUGAUGCAGCCAUGCCGCGUGUGUGAAGAAGGUCUUCGGAUUGUAAAGCACUUUAAGUUGGGAGGCGUUACCAGCAGAAGAAGCACCGGCUAACUCCGUGCCAGCAGCCGCGGUAAUAC